GUGCUUGCUUUGGCAGCACAUAUACUAAAAUUGAAAUGAUACAGAGAUGAUUAGCAUGGCCCCUGUGCAAGGAUGAUACGCAAAUUUGAGAAGCAUUUUGUAUUUUU
rfam:Tupaia chinensis contig85032, whole genome shotgun sequence.